rnacentral:rRNA from 1 species
CGCCCCUUCGGGGGAGUGGCGGACGGGUGAGUAACGCGUGGGAAUAUGCCCUAUGGUGCGGAACAACUGAGGGAAACUUCAGCUAAUACCGCAUGUGCCCUACGGGGGAAAGAUUUAUCGCCAUAGGAGUAGCCCGCGUUGGAUUAGCUAGUUGGUGGGGUAAUGGCUCACCAAGGCUACGAUCCAUAGCUGGUCUGAGAGGAUGAUCAGCCACACUGGGACUGAGACACGGCCCAGACUCCUACGGGAGGCAGCAGUAGGGAAUCUUGCGCAAUGGGCGAAAGCCUGA